rnacentral:rRNA from 1 species
AUUGAACGCUGGCGGCAUGCCUUACACAUGCAAGUCGAGCGGUAACGCGGGGCAACCUGGCGACGAGUGGCGAACGGGUGAGUAAAGUAUCGGAACGUGCCCAGUAGUGUGGGAUAGCCCGGCGAAAGACGGAUUAAUACCGCAUAAGACCUGAGGGAGAAAGCGGGGGAUCGCAAGACCUCGCGCUGUUGGAGCGGCGGAAAUCAGAUAAGGUAGUUGGUGGGGUAAAGGCCUACCAAGCCGACGAGCUUUAGCUGGUCUGAGAGGACGACCAGCCACACUGGGACUGAGACACGGCCCAGACUCCUACGGGAGGCAGCAGUGGGGAAUUUUGGACAAUGGGCGAAAGCCUGAUCCAGCCAUGCCGCGUGCGGGAAGAAGGCCUUCGGGUUGUAAACCGCUUUUGUCGGGGAAGAAAUCUUCUGGGUUAAUACCCUGGGGGGAUGACGGUACCCGAAGAAUAAGCACCGGCUAACUACGUGCCAGCCGCCGCAGUAA